AUGCCAAGUUACUUAUAUAAUAAGUUACUUGAGACUUAAGUGAUCUGAUUGAUAAGUGUUUGAUACUUAUAAUAAUUUUUACAAGUACAAAUGUACCAUUACAUCCCCUUCCAAAUAACACCAUGCGGAUAAAAACUUACACAUAUCUUUAUUUUAUUGAAAAGGAACGCCACGAUGGUAGAUGUAUUUGUGCCAUAUAAAUACUUAGACUGAAAUUGAGUUCAUCCAGCAUUUGCUCCUCCACUGUCUGGCAAUCAAAUAUGAGGAUAAAGACCACUUGAAAAUGUUAUACUAAUUCAAAAGGAAUGGAAUCAUUUAAUUUCUGUUUAUAAUUUUUUUUUUAGGUAAAUUACAUAAAACUACCUCAACUAUUGGUCUUACGACACUAUCAUACCUCAUCUUUUAAAAUUGACAAUGUCAUACCUCAUCUUACGAAUUUGGUCCAAUGUCAGACCUCCGUCAGUUUGUCUGUUAAUUUUUCUGUUAAAUGUUGACCUGACUUGAGACGGGACCUAUUUCCCGACCAAGUGGAUAAAAAUAUUAAUAAAUUAAAAAUAAAUUAUUUUAAUAUUUUUAUUUUAAAACAUGUGGGACCCAUCCCCUAUAAUUCUCUCCCUUUCUCCUCUUUUUCUUCCUGAUCCGUUCCAACCCUCCAUUUCUUCCCUUUCUCCAUCCGUUCCCUCUCUCUCUCUCUCUCUCUCUCUCUCUCUUUCUCUUUCUCUCUCUCUCUCUCCUAUCUCUCUCACCUUCACCUACGCCUUUAUUCUUCACCCUCACCUUCAUCCAUUCUUCACCUCCAUUUUUCACCUUCUUCCUUCAUCCAUUCUUCACCGUUUUAUUUAAAAAAAUUUGGACAAAAAAAAACCUAGAUUUUUUUUUUUUUUGGCAGCGGCAAAGGAGGCCCUGACAACAAGAAGUUCAGGUACUGCGGCGUGUGUCAGCGGAGCUGGGGCAAAUGGGUAGCUGAGCUCCGCGAGCCGCGUAAACACACUCGCAAGUGGCUGGGGACCUUCACCACUAUCGAGGAUGCUACCCGCGUCUACGACCGGGCUGCCAUCAUCCUCUACAAUUCUAGAGCAUAGCUCAACCUCUAGCCCUCCGGUUCCUUGUCCCAAAACUCCACACGUGGCUCCUCUUCUUCAUCCUCAUCGUCUAGCUCCUCCACCGAAACCCUAAGACCCCUUCUCCCUCGCCCUCCGGCUUCGGCCUUACUUUUUUUUUUAAGUUUUAAAUUGUAGAUUGUCGUUGCCCAGAGAGAGAGAGGAGAGAGUGGGUGGUGGAGGAAGGUUAGGGGGACGAGUGAGGAAGGGUUUGGUGGCUUGAAGGAGGAGGAUUUGGUGCAGAGGAGGUGGGUGAGAGAUGGAUUCGGAUCAGGAAGAGGAAGAAAAAAGGAGAAAGGGAGAUAAUUGUAGGGGUGGGUCCCACAUGUAUUUUGAUUCUUAGGUGAGUUUAGAGGAUUGAGUUUGGGGGGAAUUGGGGUUUUCUGUUUGAAAUUGGGGAAUUAGGGUUAGGGUUAGGGUUUGGUUUGAAGAUCUUCGAAAGGGAGGGGGUUCUGGAACAGAAAGAGGGACAAAGGUAGGGGACAGGAAAAGGUGGGUGUUGGGGGCUGCGUGGAGAAUUGCAGAUGAAUAAAAAGGAGGGGGUUCUGGGAUUUUGGGAUGCAGAUGCCCAGAGAGAGAAGAGAGAGAGGCAAUAAAGAAGGUUGGAACGGAUCAGGAAGUAAAAAUGGAGAUAAUUUUAGGGGAAAUGGGUUCCGUCUCAAGUCACGUCAGCACUUAACAGAGAAAUUAACAGAAAAACUGAUGAAGGUUUGACAUUGGACCAAAUUCGUAAAAUGAGGUAUGCCGUUGUCAAUUUUAAAAGAUGAUGUAUGAUAGUAUCGUGAGACCAAUAGUUCAAGUAGUUUUUUGUUAUUUACCCUUUUUUUUUUAAGAGUUUUAAUGAAACACUCAUGGUACUGUUCACUUUUAACGAAAAACCACAUUUUUACCUUUCUCUGGUAAUAUUCACUACA